AACGAACGCUGGCGGCAUGCCUAACACAUGCAAGUCGAACGAGACCUUCGGGUCUAGUGGCGCACGGGUGCGUAACGCGUCGGAACCUGCCCUUAGGUUCGGAAUAACUCCCCGAAAGGGGUGCUAAUACCGGAUAAUGUCUUCGGACCAAAGAUUUAUCGCCUUUGGAUGGGCCCGCGUUGGAUUAGCUAGUUGGUAGGGUAAAAGCCUACCAAGGCGACGAUCCAUAGCUGGUCUGAGAGGCUGAUCAGCCACACUGGGACUGAGACACGGCCCAGACUCCUACGGGAGGCAGCAGUGGGUAAUAUAGGACAAUGGGGGGAAGCAUGAUGCAGCAAUGCCGCGUGAGUGAUGAAGGCCUGAGGGUUGUAAAGCUCUUUUACCCGGGAUGAUAAUGACAGUACCGGGAGAAUAAGCUCCGGCUAACUCCGUG
rnacentral:rRNA from 1 species